UAGCAAAAUAAAAUAAAUAAAAAGAAGAAGGGAAUUAGGUCAAGAGUUUGUGACCUUUCGCGUUUCACGCUCUUCCCUCUUCGCACUCAAGAGCAAACGGCCGAAGAACUUUGGCAUCGACGGUGACGGCCAGGUGCGGUGGUGACUCCUUCGUCUUCUCCGAUUGUGGUUUCAUCCAUCAACCUCUUUGAUUCUGAUCUUAAUCGUGGCCUUCUCCACUCAUCUUCGUCCUCAAUCGAUUGCUUAGCACGAUCACGCUCCGACCAUUCGAACCUCUUCUUCUUCUUCUUCUACUAUGCGCUUGAGAUCAUGGUUGUGGCGUGGUGGCAGAUGACUGAAGUUUUCAGAGGAAGAAUAGAGGCGAAGGAACUGGCGUAUCGGACUUGAGGCAGAUCGAAUGCGUUGGUGUUGCGAUUUUGUGGAUUCACCGAUUUGUUUGUGCUGAACUUCUUUUUGUAGGUUUGCGAUGGUGUGCGAGAUUCACGGUGAGACUCACAGGGUAGCAACAGUGUUGAGAUAUGAUGCUUGUUAUUUGCGGCAGAGAUGUGAUGAUGUGGUUGGAUUUUCGUUCUUGAAGAUUAUUGAAGAUGUGAUGUCGAAGGUGAUUGAAGAGGAUGAAAGAAUGUGAAGAUGGUGUGGAUUGACGAUGGCGAAGAGCCGUGGUGUUCUUGAAGGUUCUUCUGAUUUUGUGUGGAUUGAAGAUGAAGAUAUGGUGAAUGGUUGAAGGAAUGAAGAAGAUGAAUUGAGGUGUGAAGUGAUGAAGAUGAUGGAGAAUCCAGGGAUUGAAUGAGAAUGGAGGUUAUAAGAAAAUGGUGGAGGAAUUUAAGGGAGCAGCUGGAAUGAAUCGAGAGAGCUCAAGUGAUGGAGCAAGCUCUGACUUUAUAGAAGUUGAAGUUCUGGAUAUAAAUCGGUAUGCGGAGGACAUGGCUUCACUUCUGUUUGCAUAGCUAUGCUAUUUGAGUGUUACAGGAAGCUGCAAGUUAUGAUCCAAGUGGCAUGGCAUGGUUAGAAAGAUGAAGAUGCGGAAACCUUGAAGAACUUGGAGAAUGGAGGGAUCUUGAAGCUGCAGUAGAGACUUAGUUUUCUUUUAAUUUUUAAUGGAUAGAAACUUGAAUUAAGUGUAGAAUGGGGUUUGGAAAUGAACUUUGUCUUGAAGUUAUUCAUUAGAAAUCUGUAUGAAUUGAUGUCAUGGCAGGAGAGUGAUUACUUUCUUCAAACAAAAAUUCAAACUCUUUUUCCCUUAAAUCAAUGUCAUGAACACCGUUUGAAGUAUGAAUAAAUUGAAUUUCCAA